rnacentral:lncRNA from 1 species
CGGAGGAAAACCUGGAAUUUUCAACGGAAAAACGUCUUGGAAUUGUUGAACUACUCGCACAUCUUCCACAAUAAUGCCCGAGGUGACUUCUAUACUCGAAAGUGACAUAAAAUCCGUUUCUCCAUUUCUCAUAGUUACUACAAGCCUAUUAGCUGACAGAUAUCUAGCAACUCCCGGUUCGGGGAAAAAGGCUAAUUUACGGGCACAGUCC